UGCGUUUUUCGCCCAGGCGGAGCUCGACCGCCGGUUGAAGUCCUGAGGGAUUUCAUAGACAAGCAUCGCGGCACCUUCGGGGUCGAGCCGAUCUGCAGCGUCUUGCAGAUCGCCCCG
rfam:Acidovorax delafieldii 2AN ctg00804, whole genome shotgun sequence.